UAGGGAGCGAGCGUUAUCCGGAAUUAUUGGGCGUAAAGGGUGCGUAGAUGGUGGAUAAAGUCUUUUGUAAAAAUGCUAGGCUCAACCUAGUAGGGCAAAAGAUACUAAUUGACUAGAGUAUGACAGAGGCAAGUGGAACUACAUGUGUAGCAAUAAAAUGCGUAAAUAUAUGUAAGAACACCGGUGGCGAAGGCGGCUUGCUGGGUCGAUACUGACAUUGAGGAACGAAAGCGUGGGAAGCA
rnacentral:rRNA from 1 species